rnacentral:lncRNA from 1 species
AGCUUCGUGACUUCCUUCUCAGGAUGGAACCAGCUUGGUGGCUUGAGGGAAAGGGGUUCUGAGUUGCAAAUCAGAAACUUGAAGAUGAAAUGGCUACUACGCUGGGUAUUGCCUUUAUCUUGAAUGCCAGCCUGAUGGUCCAAGGUGAACAAGCCUUCCUGUGUUUUCUGAAUGUUCCCCCGCACUUUGCCUGCCACCAUGUAAGAUGUGUCUUUGCGCCUCCUUUGCCUUCCACCAUGAUUGUGCGGCCUCCCCAGCCAUGUGGAACGGCUGGAAAUGAUGGUAUGGAGAUGUUGCACCACGUGGUCCCUUCACUAGAGGAAGAGUGGUAUGAAUCGUGUCCGUCACUGUGACACCAUGCAGUCUUCCUGGCAGUACACAAGUUGUGAGAGUUUGCUACCAUUUUUACAUUUUUGUGAUUUAAAGUGUUGAAUAACAAUUAAUAAUGUCAUACAUAC